AUUAUUAUUAUUAUUAUUAUUAUUAUUAUUAUUAUUACACUUUAGGCCUGGAAACACCUAUGCAUCACAAGAAUCCAGGAAUAUAAGCAAACAGUAUAUAAUGUAAAAAUCAGAAAUCAGGAAUAAGAAAGGAAAAUAUAUAAUCCAAAAAGGUUUAGUAAAAGGUGAGAACCAAACAGUAAUCCAAAUGUCUCAUAAAGUUCCAAAGGUGACAAAGUCCAGGAACAGCCAGGAAUCACAGAUACAGCAUAAGUCCACAAUCAGGAAGAUAUAACUAGUAAGGCUUGAUCAGGAGUGCAUGAACAGGAACAUAGAAAACUUCCAGGAUAUAUAAAAUCCAAAAUCAAAGCUUGACUUGAAUGAAAAACAAGAGAACUUAGGCUUAGCUUCUCACUCUAACGCAGCGUUGCCUGAACUGAUCUUAAGGUAAACAACAUGUUGCUUAAUAGACAUCAAUGAAAGCAUCCAGUUUCCCAUAAAUUUCUUUGACAACUUUCCUACGUAAUAUCUCUGGAUGACACAAUCUAUUUUCGGCUCUGAUUUGUAAACAAAGACUUGUUGAUCUCGGUAGCUGCAUGUGGGUUCCAAUGGGAGCCCUCCUUAUCACUCAGCUUUUCCCUCAAUUCCUUAUUUGUUGUUGAUCCUUCUGACUGUCCUGAAUGUCCUUGAGGUUUUGCAAUUUCUGAGCCAGUUUUCUCACAGAGAGAAUAAUCAUUUCCUCAGAUUUUCUGAAUCGUCCAUAGGAAAGUUCACAGUCCCCUCUAAAUCAUCAGUUAAACCACCAGCCUCUGGUGACUGAUCUACAACAGUUAUAUUAUAUACUAGCUGUGCCCGGCCCCGCGUUGCUGUGGUGUUGUCUGGUGGUGUCUGUAUUUUUUAGGCAGUGUGGAAGAGGCCAAAGUGAGGCCUAACUCUGCCUGUCCCCUGGGCUGAGUGGGUUGCUAGGAGACCAAGUGGGCAGAGCUUAGCCUUCUAACGAGCAGCAAUUGGAUAAAAACAAUUAUUGCUCUCCCUCCAAUUAGGACUUUAUUUUUCUUUUCUUUUUGUUGUAUCAACCUAGAGGCAUUGAUGAGGGGUUGUGCUGUCAAUUUUCGAGGUUGUGGGGUGUUUAGUUUUGUUGUUUUGUCGGUCGCCGUGAUGCCAUCACUCUUUUAUAUAUAUAGAUAAUGUUUAUAUAUGAGGCAUGGGCUGGGUCAAUAGCAGAUGGAUGGAAAGUUUUUGUGUAAACUAAUUCACACAAUCCAAAAAUAAAAUAAAAUAUUUAAAAUGAAGCAUAAUUUAACCAAUAUAAACUUAACAGUAUUUCAGUGGAAAACCCCUGGGGCUAUCUAAUCCAACCCCUUCUGCCAUGCAGGAAAAACACAAUCAAACCACCCCUAACAGAUGGUCAUCUAGCCUUUGCAAUAAUAGCCCAGGUGAACUUUGAACAAAGCAGAAUAGAGCAUGGCAGUUAAAGUGGUGUCAAGCUGCAUUCAUUCGAUGAUGCACCCUCACUGCUUCUCCACCUCAUCCUCCUCUCCUGCUCAGAGGUGGCAGUUUGGGGGUGGCAGGAGGUCUCUUCUACUCCUCCUCUUCCUCUCCUUGGUGAUAGAAGUUUCGGUGGUUGAUUCGGUGGCAGCGGCAGGAUAUGUGUGUCCCUCUUCCUCCUUGGCAGUGGCAGGUCCCUCAGUUGCAUCCUCCUUGGCAGCGGUAGCAAUAGCUUCCUCAUACUACAAGGGUUGCUUCAUGUAGAGAUCAUGUGGUUGCCAGGACCAUAUGGCCAACAUGCUGCAGUGGUUGCUAGCCCCAAAAGACUAUACCAGGAAGGGAAGAAAGUGAAGCCAGGGGAGACAUAAUGGCGGGGAGGAGGUGGGGCACCCACGGAGUGGGUGAGCAUCUCUCACAGAGCCCCAUGGGCUCUGCAGAGCAGUUUGAGAACUGCUAAAUUAGGGUAUCUACAUAAGUUAAAAUAACACACUGCAAAGCCAGCACUAGCAGUCUUCAUGGUGUAUGACAACUUUUGCUAAGAAUCCAGAGAUUAUUUUAGCCCUUAAACCUAACUUGCUCAGCAGUAAGUACAUUUGGAGAAUACUCUGAAGUUUGCAAAAAAAAAAAAAACAACACUCUGGAUGUCCUCAUGGUUUGUAGAUUGAGAGAACUGCAGCUUGAUUUGUUAUCCACCUGCACAUUUGGCUACCGUCACCCAUUCUCUGUGCUGAUCACUGCAAGAAAAGGGAUGGGUUGUCCUCGUGCUGUCAACAGUGCUCCUUGCCAGCUAGCAGCUCAGGGAGAGCCUGUCUGUUGCUUGUUGGUUUCAUCUUUUGAGAUCAUAAGAUGGGUGCGCAGGCAUGAGAUUACUCCUUCAUUGAUUGCACAGGUGCAGAGUUAUAACCCCAGUGGAUAAAACAACCAAUGACCAGGUUCCUAGAGCUGCUAGGGGUGGCAGGGAUGAUAUGAAGACAAGAAAAAGGAUCAUCAGAGGUAUCAUCUGGAUACAUGGCCCUGGAUUCAGCAGAUAUAUUCUGUAUUUAGGGCUCCUCCAGGUCACAAAUACCCCAGAUUAACCUGUCCCAUGUAGAUCUGCCCUUUGUUCCUGGAAGAUCUGUGCCAUUGCCUGAACAAAUAAGAGGGUCUUUCCUUUGACAUCUUUGUUUUUGUUUACAGUUCCUUGGCUGCUGUUUUAGGCUAUGUGGUAGGGUGGGGGAGAUAAUAUUUAGCUGGAGAUAGCAGCAAGGGCUUGCCCAACCUUUCCUAAAAUGGAGCAUCAAUCUUUAUGUUUGUGUGCACACACAUACACAAAGUAGAGCUCUACGCAACAGGUGUUGAGAUGUGUGGAGAGGGAAGGAAAUGUUCACUUUCUGCAGUACAUAAAAGAAGCUGCCUUCAUUUCAUUUCAUUUCAUUUCAGUGCAACGUACUGUGACCUUCCAGAAAUUGGCAAAAGGCAAAAUGCAGCUGUCAAUCUGGCUCAAGAGAGAAAUACAGUAGAGUCUCACUUAUCCAAGCCUUGCUUAUCCAAGCCUCUGGAUUAUCUAAGCCAUUUUUGUAGUCAAUGUUUUCAAUAUAUCAUGAUAUUUUGGUGCUAAAUUCGUAGAUACAGUAAUUACAACAUAACAUUAUUUCGUAUUGAACUACUUUUUCUGUCAAAUUUGUUGUAUAACAUGAUGUUUUGGUGCUUAUUUGUAAAAUCAUAACCUAAUUUGAUGUUUGAUAGGCUUUUCCUUAAUUCCUCCUUAUUAUCCAACAUAUUCGCUUAUCCAAGCUUCUGCCGGCCCGUUUAGCUUGGAUAAGUGAGACUCUACUGUAGUAUGCAGAAAGCAUACUAUUCCUCAUUAUGAUGAUGACUGGUGACACUAAUUCAAUCUGGGAGGGCAUGUUCAAUACCUAUGAAGCACUGACUUUAAGUAAUGCUAAGUUUUUGUAGAGCUGGUGUGAUGGCUUCAUUUCCAUUAAGGUGGAGUAAUUGUUAUGGUUGAGCCUUCUGGCUCCGGUACUAGGAGACGGGGUCGUAAGACUCCUCGAGAGUCAGACUCUUUUGAGGAGCGUGAAAGGAAACGGCUCCGGGACUUAUUUGCAGAACCAACAGAUGAAGACUCAUUUGAGGGUUUUACCGAGGGAAUGGAGGAAGAGAUGGUUAGCUCAGAGGAGGAUGACAUGGAGUGGACUCGUGUGAGGGAGGAUUUGGGUGUCACCGGCAAUGAUAGCAUGGGAGGCGAUUGGCGGGUUGCAGGAUCAGACCCAUGGACGGGCUGGAGGGAUGGAGCGGGAUCCACAGCUGGGGAUGCUGUGGGGCGUAGUCAAAGGUGUUUUAGCUCUGAUGAGGAUGAUGAUGAUGAGGCACCUGGAAUUAGGAUAGCAGCUGACAGCGAUGAGGAGUUAUGAACUGGGAUAAAAUGGGGUUUAGGAUCAAUGGCUAAUUGCGUUGGGCAAGGUAAUCUGGACGAACGCUUGGGCUCUUGUUGGGGAACUUCCUGAAGACGGGUGUGAUUCGUUGCUGGAUACCUUGGACCUCCGUCGUCUUUUUGACGGACAUUAAUUACCUACUCUGGAUUGACGCUGGACUGACUGACUGACUACGACCUCGGACUAUCCCUUCUGUGGCUUUCGGUGGAACUUGUGGAACUUUAGACGUCUGCACUUGGCUUUCGACCUUGGACCGGAUUGGGACCUUGCUGACCACCGUUACCCUGAUUGAUGUGCCUGGACCCGGAUUUCGCUCGUUGCACAGAGGAGUAAACAGCCUGAGUUACUCAUCUGUAGCUUUUGAGUAGCAGAGAGGAAUCUGCUGCCAGCUUUUUGUGUUCAUUUUGACCUUUGUUUACCAACUUUUGUUUGUUUAAAUUGCCAGGCUGAAGUAAGCACUUUUGAUUUAAUCUGGAUUAAACUCCUGUUUAAUCCGGUUUAUCCUUUCGAACCAUUUUAGUUCAAACGGAGCUGUUUCUGUUACUUUUCACACUGAAGACAAGUGUUUGCCUAGUCCUUUGUUUCCUACGGGCAUUUUUUAGUUCUGUAACUUCAAUAAACUGUGUUGUACUCUAUUUGGUGGCGUUCUGUCUUUGACAGUAAUUGUUGGGGACCAGAUAUUGGCAGUUCUACUUCCUCAGCCUAUCUUGAAUGUUUGAAGCCACAGUAUCAUUUAUCUUUAGUGCUCAAAGGAGAACAUGGUCUGGUUCUCCUAGGUUGCACCUAGACAUUCAUUUCAUUUCUUCUUUUAAUUUUAAGAGAAUGCCUUAACUGUUUUAAGCUUUGCACUGCUUUUUAACAUUUUAGAUUGCAUUUUUAAAA